rnacentral:rRNA from 1 species
ACUUGUUCUGUGACUGCGUACCUUUUGUAUAAUGGGUCAGCGACUUAUGUUCAGUGGCGAGGUUAACCGUUUAGGGGAGCCGUAGGGAAACCGAGUCUGAAUAGGGCGAUUUAGUCGCUGGGCAUAGACCCGAAACCGGGCGAUCUAUCCAUGAGCAGGUUGAAGGUGCCGUAACAGGCACUGGAGGACCGAACCCACUGUCUUUGAAAAGCCAGGGGAUGACUU